CAGCUGUGUGGCCUACAAACAAUGCAAUCAGACAAAGCACAAAGUACGUGUUUCUUUUGUUUUCCGGUGCUCACACACCGCUAAGAACUGGACAGCACCAGGGCACAGACAGAGAAGGGAGAUGUCAAAAAUCCUGCUCCAACCAGCAGCACCAUAACUAUCACAACAGGGCCUACCUACACUCUGCCUGCAUCAGCGGCAGAGAUCUUCCUACAGAGAUGGGAAGCAAAUGGCAUUCACUCCAAACAUGACAUUUCCUCACUGCAGAACACUGCAUUGAGACUGACACACCCUGGAAAACCAUCUGAAUCCUGUUUGGGUAGAAGAAAAUACAUUUUGUAAACAUGCUGAAAAUUCACGACUUUGCUUACUUCGGUUACAAGCAUGCAUUUCUGCUACCAGAG
rnacentral:lncRNA from 1 species